AGCUAAAUUAAACAACAAAGUCGACCGACAAGGCGUCAAACUUAAUAGCAAGUUCGAA
rnacentral:sRNA from 1 species